CUGGCUCAGGAUGAACGCUAGCGGCAGGCUUAACACAUGCAAGUCGAGGGGCAGCGUGGAGUAGCAAUACUCUGACGGCGACCGGCGGAAGGGUGCGUAACACGUGAGCGACUUGCCCGAUACAGGGAGAUAACCGGUGGAAACGCCGACUAAUAUCCCAUACGACAUGAGGCUGCAUGGCCUUGGGUUGAAAGGUUCGCCGGUAUCGGAUAGGCUCGCGGGACAUUAGCUUGAUGGCGGGGCAACGGCCCACCAUGGCGACGAUGUCUAGGGGUUCUGAGAGGAAGACCCCCCACACUGGGACUGAGACACGGCCCAGACUCCUACGGGAGGCAGCAGUGAGGAAUAUUGGUCAAUGGGCGGAAGCCUGAACCAGCCAUGCCGCGUGAAGGACUAAGGCCCUAUGGGUCGUAAACUUCUUUAGACGCAGAGCAAUAAGGGCCUCGUGAGGUCCGAUGAGAGUAUGCGUAGAAUAAGCAUCGGCUAACUCCGUGCCAGCAGCCGCGGUAAUACGGGGGAUGCGAGCGUUAUCCGGAUUUAUUGGGUUUAAAGGGUGCGUAGGCGGCGAAUUAAGUCAGCGGUGAAAGACCGGGGCUCAACCCUGGAAGUGCCGUUGAUACUGAUUGGCUAGAAUACCCUUGCCGUGGGAGGAAUGAGUGGUGUAGCGGUGAAAUGCAUAGAUAUCACUCAGAACACCGAUUGCGAAGGCAUCUCACGAAGGGGCGAUUGACGCUGAGGCACGAAAGCGUGGGGAUCGAACAGGAUUAGAUACCCUGGUAGUCCACGCAGUAAACGAUGAUGGCUAACUGUCGGGCCUACGGGUUCGGCGGCCAAGCGAAAGCGAUAAGCCAUCCACCUGGGGAGUACGACCGCAAGGUUGAAACUCAAAGGAAUUGACGGGGGCCCGCACAAGCGGAGGAACAUGUGGUUUAA
rnacentral:rRNA from 1 species